UACCAGCACCCCGAGUGGUCGGGACGAUUAUUGGGCCUAAAGCAUCCGUAGCCGGUCAUGCAAGUCCUCCGUUAAAUCCACCUGCUUAACAGAUGGGCUGCGGAGGAUACUAUAGAGCUAGGAGGCGGGAGAGGCAAGCGGUACUUAGUGGGUAGGGGUAAAAUCCGUUGAUCCAUUGAAGACCACCAGUGGCGAAGGCGGCUUGCCAGAACGCACUCGACGGUGAGGGAGUGAAAGCUGGGGGAGCAAACCGGG
rnacentral:rRNA from 1 species